AGGACGAACGCUGGCGGCGUGCUUAACACAUGCAAGUCGAGCGGAAAGGCCCUUCGGGGUACUCGAGCGGCGAACGGGUGAGUAACACGUGAGCAACCUGCCCUUAGCUUCGGGAUAGCUCCCGGAAACGGGAAUUAAUACCGGAUACGACUGCGGUAGACAUCUACCACGGUGAAAAGAAUUUCGGCUAAGGAUGGGCUCGCGGUCUAUCAGCUAGUUGGUGGGGUAACGGCCUACCAAGGCGACGACGGGU
rnacentral:rRNA from 1 species